GACCUCUCUUCCAUGGGGCUGUGGAGUUCCCUUUUCUCCUCUGCCAGGGUUAGAGGCCAAAAUCAGCCUUUGAGGGUCUUUGCUGGGGCUGCCACAAGCUGGUCAGCCUUGUUUUCCUACAUCAGACAUUU